rnacentral:rRNA from 1 species
CCUACGGGAGGCAGCAGUGGGGAAUAUUUCGCAAUGGGCGAAAUCCUGACGCAGCGACGCCGCGUGAUGGAUGAAGGUCUUCGGAUCGUAAACCUCUGUCAGCAGGGAAGAACGGUCACUGUGCUAAUCAGCAGUGAAUUGACGGUACCUGCAAAGGAAGCACCGGCUAACUCCGUGCCAGCAGCCGCGGUAUUACGGAGGGUGCGAGCGUUAAUCGGAAUUACUGGGCGUAAAGCGCUCGUAUGCGGUAUGUAAAGUCAAGGGUGAAAGCCCCGCGCUCAACGUGGGAACUGCCUUUGAAACUGGCAAACUGGAGUGUGGGAGAGGAUAGUGGAAUUCCAGGUGUAGGAGUGAAAUCCGUAGAUAUCGGGAGGAACAUCAGUGGCGAAGGCGACUAUCUGGCACAUAACUGACGCUGAGGAGCGAAAGCGUGGGUAGCAAACAGGAUUAGAUACCCCGGUAGUC